rnacentral:rRNA from 1 species
UACGAAGGGGGCUAGCGUUGUUCGGAAUUAUUGGGCGUAAAGGGCUCGUAGGCGGUUUGUCGCGUCGGGAGUGAAAACUCAGGGCUUAACCCUGAGCCUGCUUCCGAUACGGGCAGACUAGAGGUAUGCAGGGGAGAAUGGAAUUCCUGGUGUAGCGGUGAAAUGCGCAGAUAUCAGGAGGAACACCAGUGGCGAAGGCGGUUCUCUGGGCAUUACCUGACGCUGAGGAGCGAAAGUCAGGGGAGCGAACGGG